CGCCGCGUGUGGGAUGACGGCCUUCGGGUUGUAAACCACUUUCAGCUAGGACGAAGCGCAAGUGACGGUACUAGCAGAAGAAGCACCGGCCAACUACGUGCCAGCAGCCGCGGUGAUACGUAGGGUGCGAGCGUUGUCCGGAAUUAUUGGGCGUAAAGGGCUCGUAGGCGGUUCGUCGCGUCGGAAGUGAAAACUCAGGGCUUAACCCUGAGCCUGCUUCCGAUACGGGCGAACUAGAGGUAUGCAGGGGAGAAUGGAAUUCCUGGUGGAGCGGUGGAAUGCGCAGAUAUCAGGAGGAACACCAGUGGCGAAGGCGGUUCUCUGGGCAUUACCUGACGCUGAGGAGCGAAAGCGUGGGGAGCAAACAGGCUUAGAUACCCUGGUAGUCCACGCCGUAAACGGUGGGCACUAGGUGUGGGACUCAUUCCACGAGUUCCGUGCCGAAGCUAACGCAUUAAGUGCCCCGCCUGGGGAGUACGGCCGCAAGGCUAAAACUCAAAGGGAUUGACGGGGGCCCGCACAAGCGGCGGAGCAUGUUGCUUAAUUCGAUGCAACGCGAAGAACCUUACCAGGGUUUGACAUGCAGAGAAAUCCGGCAGAGAUGUCGGGUCCGUAAGGGCUCUGCACAGGUGGUGCAUGGCUGUCGUCAGCUCGUGUCGUGAGAUGUUGGGUUAAGUCCCGCAACGAGCGCAACCCUCGUCCCAUGUU
rnacentral:rRNA from 1 species